rnacentral:sRNA from 1 species
AUGUUAAAUUAUAUUAAAAGAACAAAUAUCGUUGUUACAACAAGUGCGACGGAAUUUGAAUUUGUUACAACACUAAGAAUAUCAAAAUUAAAAGCUCCUAACUUCUAGAAGCAAACCACAUUUGAAGUCCCUUAUCAUAUCUCGUGUCCCCUAAAAUUUUGAUAGAUGAAAGAGUGUUUCGGGUUUGCUUAUCAAUCCACCGGAUUAGUCUAGCUGGCGUAUUA